rnacentral:rRNA from 1 species
UACGAAGGGGGCUAGCGUUGCUCGGAAUCACUGGGCGUAAAGCGCACGUAGGCGGAUUGCUAAGUCAGGGGUGAAAUCCUGGGAGCUCAACUCCAGAACUGCCUUUGAUACUGGCGAUCUCGAGUCCGGGGAGAGGUGAGUGGAACUGCGAGUGUAGAGGUGAAAUUCGUAGAUAUUCGCAAGAACACCAGUGGCGAAGGCGGACUCACUGGCCCGGUACUGACGCUGAGGUGCGAAAGCGUGGGGAGCAACAGG